GGCAGACGGGAGAGUAACAUCGUGGGAACGUACCCUUCGGGUUCGGAAUAAUCCCAGAAGCAAACUUGGAUUUAAAUACCGUGAUUACGUCCGAAAUAGGAGCAAGAGAUUCAUUCGCCGAAGGAUCGGCCGUCGGCUGAUUAGCUAGUUGGUGAGGUAAGCGGCUCACCCAGGGCGACGAUCGGUAGCUGGUCUGAGAGGAUGAUCAGCCUCACUGGGACUGAGCCACGGUCAAGAAUCUCAUAACGGGAGGCAGCAGUGGGGAAUAUUGGACAAUGGGCGCAAGCCUGAUCCAGCCAUGCCGCGUGGGUGAUGAAGGCCCUAGGGUUGUAAAGCCCUUUCGGCGGGGAAGAUAAUGACGGUACCCGCAGAAGAGCCCCGGCUAACUUCGUGCCAGCCGCCG
rnacentral:rRNA from 1 species